GCCAGCCCGCUCAGAAACUACAAAGGAAGUUGACGGGGCCCGCACAAGCGGUGGAGUAUGUGGUUUAAUUCGAUGCAACGCGAAGAACCUUACCUGGUCUUGACAUCCCGGAGACCCUUAGGAAACUAGGGGGUGCUUCCAUCUGGAAGAAUCUGGAGACAGGUGCUGCAUGGCUGUCGUCAGCUCGUGUCGUGAGAUGUUGGGUUAAGUCCCGCAACGAGCGCAACCCUUGCCUUUAGUUGCCAGCAGUUCGGCUGGGCACUCUAAAGGGACUGCCGGUGUUAAACCGGAGGAAGGUGGGGAUGACGUCAAGUCCUCAUGGCCUUUAUGACCAGGGCUACACACGUACUACAAUGGCCGAUACAAAGGGCAGCGACACUGCGAGGUGAAGCCAAUCCCGUAAAAUCGGUCUCAGUCCGGAUUGGAGUCUGCAACUCGACUCCAUGAAGUUGGAAUCGCUAGUAAUCGUGGAUCAGCAUGCCACGGUGAAUACGUUCCCGGGCCUU
rnacentral:rRNA from 1 species